rnacentral:rRNA from 1 species
UACGGGGGGGCAAGGCGUUGUUCGGAAUUAUUGGGCGUAAAGAGCUCGUAGGCGGCUUGUCACGUCGGGUGUGAAAGCCCGGGGCUUAACCCCGGGUCUGCAUUCGAUACGGGCAGGCUAGAGUGUGGUAGGGGAGAUCGGAAUUCCUGGUGUAGCGGUGAAAUGCGCAGAUAUCAGGAGGAACACCGGUGGCGAAGGCGGAUCUCUGGGCCAUUACUGACGCUGAGGAGCGAAAGCGUGGGGAGCGAACAGG